rnacentral:rRNA from 1 species
CCUACGGGGGGCAGCAGUGAGGAAUAUUGGUCAAUGGGCGGAAGCCUGAACCAGCCAAGUCGCGUGAGGGAUUAAGGCCCUGCGGGUCGUAAACCUCUUUUGCCGGGGAGCAGAGGUCCGGACGUGUCCGGGCCGGGAGAGGACCCGGAGAAAAAGCAUCGGCGAACUCCGGGCCAGCAGCCGCGGUAAUACGGAGGAUGCGAGCGUUAUCCGGAUUUAUUGGGUUGAAAGGGUGCGUAGGCGGGCAUUUAAGCCGGCGGUCAACUGUCGGGGCUCAACCCCGGCCUGCCGUCGGAACUGGGUGCCUUGCGUGGGCGCGACGUAUGCGGACUGCGUGGUGUAGCGGU